CCUACGGGAGGCAGCAGUGAGGGAUAUUGGUCAAUGGGGGAAACCCUGAACCAGCAACGCCGCGUGAGGGAAGACGGUUUUCGGAUUGUAAACCUCUGUCCUCUGUGAAGAUAAUGACGGUAGCAGAGGAGGAAGCUCCGGCUAACUACGUGCCAGCAGCCGCGGUAAUACGUAGGAUCCGAGCAUUAUCCGGAGUGACUGGGUGUAAAGAGUUGCGUAGGUGGCAUAAUAAGUAGCUAGUGAAAUCUGGUGGCUCAACCAUUCAGACUAUUAGCUAAACUGUUAAGCUCGAGACCGUUAGGGGUAACUGGAAUUUCUAGUGUAGGAGUGAAAUCCGUAGAUAUUAGAAGGAACACCAAUAGCGUAGGCAGGUUACUGGGACGGUUCUGACACUAAGGCACGAAAGCGUAGGGAGCAAACGGGAUUAGAUACCCGAGUAGUC
rnacentral:rRNA from 1 species